rnacentral:lncRNA from 1 species
CAUCUGAGCCUCAAGGAGCUCAUCAUCUGAUAAAGGAAAAGGCAUUUAAACAAAUUCUUACAAUUGCAGAGUAGAGAAGCUCUAAGAAAGAUGAGGAAACAGGUUCACAGAAGUCAGGACCUUUGCUGAAGCCACAUGCACAGAGUAAUUAUGAAGGACUUUCCUCAUCCAGUGGACACAACUCAUUCAGAAGGAAGCAGUCUGUUCAACAAAAUUCUCCAGGGGAAGUUGCUCUCCCAGGAAAACCAAACCAACACACAGACACAAGGUGUGAAGUUACUCUCCGUGCCUUCUGCUCUAUACUUCCUUGCCCGGUUCCGGGUCGUGAUGUUCCCUCCCUGGACAGGGAAUGAAAAUGUGCAGAGUCAAUUCUCAAUUCUGUCACUUUUUAGCUGUGCGAUGGCUAAUACUUGAGUUGUUUAUACCUCCACUUCCCAAUCCGCAAGAUGAGGCGAUUGUCCCAGAUUUUAUGGAAAAUCCCUCCCAGGGAAAGAGUCACACAGAUAACAGCUUUGGCUCCUGACCCGGCUGGCACAGCUGGGGCUCCCACCACGCUUCAUUGAGCAACGCAAGCCCCUUGGUAAUCCUGUGAAGCAGCCAGGGCAGUGAGUCAUUUCCAUAUCACUCAAACCCCUUCCUGUGGUGCGCCGGCAAGGAGAGGCGCUCCAGCCAGAACGUUAAGACUUGACCUGCAGCAACAUUCUCAACACAAAUUGGAGCUUUUAAUUGGGUUGUGACUUGGAAACCCAUCAUGCUUAAAUCAGUGCUCAGAAGAGCUCAGACUGUGCUCAGUCGUUCACUUAUUACCCUUUUCUGAGCCUCUGUGACAUGCGAUGCACUGUGCUAAGCUUCAGGAAGACAUAGAUAUAGCGUCUGUCUUCAAGGAAUUCAAUGUCCCCUGGGAGAAACAGACUUGUAAACAAGAGGGAAACACAGUAUUACAAGGGCAAUUAAAAAAAGCAUAAACACAACAAUAAGCCAUCUGGAGGAGAGAAGGGUGGAGGUGAGGGGCUGGGGUGGAGG